GGCUUGUUGAGAAACUGACAGGGAUGGAAGAUCUGGCUGCUUGUGGUAAAAUUCCAGGAAGCUGGCCCGGGAUCCAGAGACAACAUGAGGCCCCGGUAAGGGUCAUGGUGGGAGACGGGCCUAGCCAUCAGGAUUCCGGCACAACGGCACAAUGAUCGUCUAUCAAGGGGAGGCAGGAACGUGACUGAGCAGGAACAGCAUGCCUAGAGGGGCAGGUGCGUGGAAGGAACUGAGCAGAAUGUGAGCAAGGAGGCAUUAGUUGGAAAGAUGUGAGCAGAAACUUGAAAUGUGCUUGCUCGGUUGACUUCCACUCCCGCGCUCCAGUGAAGAACGUUCCCAAAGUGUAUUCUUCAGCUGCACCCUCAGCCUGGGCCUAAGAAUGCAGGACGUGGAGCAGAUCCUAUGUCCUGGAUGUCCGCUGCUUGAAAAGGUUCCAGAUGCUGAGGGAACAGACCUGAACCCAGAAGAGCUUGAAGCCCCGAGCCAGGAGCCAGCCCAGCCCAAACACUGCCCAGUGAACACGAGAACAAGCGAGGGCUGUUUGAAGCCACUACGAUUUUUUUUUUCACAGAUAAGAUUUUUUAUUUGU